AUGAUGUUUGGCAGUACGAGAUUAUCCUUUCUAACAACAUAUUAUAGGUCGAUUAUCAUUUUCAACUUUAACAAGGAACCUUACAAAAAUUGGAUUCCACAUAGGCAAACCGAGGUUUUCUUACAUGAGACAUACGUACCUUGUUCAGAAACUUUCAAGACAUCAAAUCACUCGCAAAUUGUAAAUAUUAAAUAUACAAUAGCAAAUGCUUAA